GUGAAAUGUUUGUGUUAAUUAAAUUUUCACUUUGUAAAGUCCGGUGACAUCAUACCUGCUGCUUAGGGGAAAAAAAGUAGCGAGCAUGAUGUCUGAAUUGCUUUUAAAAUUCAGAACAAUAUAUACAGUGCACUAUAUAGUUUUUUAGUAGUUAGGGAUUAUAGCGGGAAUUUAGACAUAGCACAUAUUUACCCCAUAACUCUUCUUUUGAAGGGCUGAAAUGCAGGGGUAGGGGAAGAGCCUAACCGCAUAGAGUAUGUACUUAUUUCAUGCACAUCUUUACACUGAAAAAAGGGGGAAAGUGGGGUUGUUCAAUUUACAAGUAAUAAACAUGUGUCUAAAACAUGAUCUAGUCAUGUUUACCUUCCAAACAUAUUCCAAUCUUGUAGAUCACACUUAAUUUCUGGCAAUAUGACAUUUACAUAUUUAAAUCAUCUUGAUAAAACAUGAAAUAAUCAUGUUUCGCUCUUUGCCCCUUAAUUUUAAAUAUGUAAACCCCGUCUGCCGAGGAGCAAGUUGCCCCUUAAUUUUAAAUAGGUAAACCCCGUCUGCCGAGAAGCUAGUUGCCCCUUGAUUUUAAGUACGUAAACCCCGUCUGCCACGGAUCAUUCCAGAAAAGAUUUGUUGGAGUCAGCCAUUUUAUACAAACAAUAAGCAGCUAUUCAUCAAAGUCACUUAUAAAAGGUAAGUUUAAUUUACUUUAACUUUGUCCUCAUGUGGAACAAAGGGCAAUCACUUAUCCCACUGUGUGUGUGUGUGUGGGUGUGUGUGUGUGUGUGUGUGUGUGCGCGCGUGUGGGGGGUACAGCAGAAGGGUGGGCAACCUCUGAUCAAUAAAAUUGCAGGUUCGAUUCCUGCCUUGCCCGUCUAUGUGUCCUUGUGCUAGACACUGAACCCCACAUUGCCUCUGGUGGAAGGUUGGCACCAGUGUUUGAAUGGGACUGUAACUUUAAAGUGCUCUGGGCUUUAUCACAUUAAGAAUAGUAUGAUUUUGUUAACCCAGUAACUUAAACAUUUAUUAGUUAUUUAAGGGUAAGAAUUAUAUAUAUUUUAAAGUUUGUUUGUGAAUUCCUAAUUUGUUCACUCUUUGUAUUCCAGACUGUUGAGUUUCUUAUCACUGUCAGCAAGUGCAAAGGUUUGUUCAAAGGCUCUGUAGUACAGAAUGAAGACCAUCCAGGAGGCAAUCGAGGACACCAUGGAGGGAAUUUUCCACUAAAUGGCAUGUGGCAGUGGUGAGGAAAAGGACAUUCUUGUGAUCCUUGAAGUCCAGGCUGUGGUGGACAACCUACCAAGUGUCGGAGUGGCAGUUGCCAUGCUGUUUGGCCUUAUUUACAACCUUAAUAUGGAUCACCGUCCUCAUCUCAGAUACACCUUUGAGGUAAUCUGGAAAAUUGUAAUGGAGUUAGAGGGCAGAGUUAUGUCCAAAAGGGUGGAGAUCUUUGAGAUGCGACUCUUCAAAUAAAAUUAACACAGUUCACGGUUCACCAAGGAUGGAAUCCAGCUGCUUGCUUUGGCUAUUUCUCUUAUGUUCUGUUUAACAAAAAACGGCAAACCUCAUAAAUGUUGAUUUGUACUAUUUGCAUAGCUGUAAUCAUAUUUUUCAAGUUGAAAUAAAAAACAGGUUGAUACUUAAACUUGUUGUGUUGUAUUUGAUUGCUGUAAUGCAUGAGGUUUUAAAAAGAAAUAAAAUCAAUGUUUUUAUA